GCCCAGGUGGUGAAAUCGGCAGACACAAGGGAUUUAAAAUCCCUCGCUUUAUCGCGUGCGGGUUCGAGCCCCGCCCUGGGCACCA
rnacentral:tRNA from 1 species